rnacentral:rRNA from 1 species
GUACGCUGGCGGCACGCCUAACACAUGCAAGUCGAACGAAGUAGCAAUACUUAGUGGCAGACGGGUGAGUAACAUGUGGGUAUCUACCCUUUGGCCUGGAAUAACACGAGGAAACUUGUGCUAAUACCGGAUAAGUCUUUACGGAGAAAGCUUUAUGCACCAUUGGAUGAGCCUGCACUUGAUUAGUUUGUUGGUAGGGUAAUGGCCUACCAAGACUAUGAUCAAUAGCUGAUUUGAGAGGAUGAUCAGCCACAUUGGGACUGAGACACGGCCCAAACUCCUACGGGAGGCAGCAGUGGGGAAUCUUGCACAAUGGAGGAAACUCUGAUGCAGCGAUGCCGCGUGAGUGAAGAAGGCCCUUGGGUUGUAAAGCUCUUUCGUCGGGGAAGAAAAUGACUGUACCCGAAUAAGAAGGUCCGGC